rnacentral:rRNA from 1 species
UACGAAGGGGGCUAGCGUUGCUCGGAAUUACUGGGCGUAAAGCGCACGUAGGCGGCUUUCUAAGUCGGGGGUGAAAUCCUGGAGCUCAACUCCAGAACUGCCUUCGAUACUGGAGAGCUUGAGUCCGGGUAGAGGUGAGUGGAACUGCGAGUGUAGAGGUGAAAUUCGGUAGAAUUAUUCGCAAGAACACCAGGUGGCGAAAGGCGGCCUGCAGCUGGACC